AUUGCAGGCUGCAACCCGCCUGCAUGAAGUCGGAAUUGCUAGUAAUCGCGGAUCAGAAUGCCGCGGUGAAUACGUUCCCGGGCCUUGUACACACCGCCCGUCACACCAUGAGAGCCGGUAACACCCGAAGUCAGGAGCCUAACCGCAAGGAGGGCGCUGCCGAAGGUGGGAUUGGUAAUUGGGGUGAAGUCGUAACAAGGUAAC
rnacentral:rRNA from 1 species